rnacentral:rRNA from 1 species
GGCGCUGUCGCGCAGGUCGGAAACAAACGCAGGGCUUCCCGAGACCGGGGCCGUCCGGCCGCGUAGUUUCAGCGCAGCCAGACGCAUUUGUCUCUCGUCCGAAGGACGCCGCAGCAGGUUGGGCAGCGCAAGCGUGACGGCCUGAGGGGCGGGAGAUGGCAGGUGGCCAGUGGCGCGCCUCGUGCGCGUCGCUGGUUGUUAGCCGUCCCGUCAGUGGCUCGUCGCCCGACCGAGGUGUCGCUAGGCCCUUUUUGGGCCCCAUCGCCUCCUCUUUUAGAAGUCGUGACAGGGCGUGGCAGGUGAAGGCUGCCGGCCGUCGCACUCCUCCGGAGUGGGCGGUCGAGCAGUCGGCUCCGUUGGCCGCGACGGGCACGUCGGAGGUCGGAGGCUUGCGGCGAGUAGGUCGGUCACCCACCCGACCCGUCUUGAAACACGGACCAAGGAGUCUAACAUGUGCGCGAGUCAAUGGGUCUUGAACAGGCCCAGGGGCGCAAUGAAAGCAAAGGUCGGCUCCCGUCGACCGAGUUGGGAUCCCCCUCCCUCGCGGGGGGGG